ACUGUGGGCAGUGGUGUGCCCCUGUAAUCCUAUCUACUUGGGAGGCUGAGGGUGGGAGGUUUGGGCUGCAAUACGCUAUGCCCAUCAUGUGUCUACACUAAGUGGAGCAUCAAUAUGGCGACCUGUAGUGGGGAACCACCAAGUUGCCUAAGAAGGGGUAAACCAGCUCGGAUUAGAAAUGGAGUAGGCUAAAACUCCAGGGCUGACUAGUAGUGGGAUUGUACCUCUGAAUAGCCACUGUGCAUUCCUGUCUGGGCACCCAAGU
rfam:Otolemur garnettii contig117003, whole genome shotgun sequence.